rnacentral:rRNA from 1 species
GAACGCGAAGAACCUUACCUUGUCUUGACAUCCCGGGAACCCCGCAGAGAUGUGGGGGUUCCUUAAGGGACCUAGAGACAGGGUGCACGUGGGUGUUGUCAGCUUGUGUCGAGAGAUGUUGGGUUAAGCCCCGCAAAGAGCGCACCCCUUGUCCUUUUUUGCCAACAUUAAGUUGGGGACUUUAAGGAGACCGCCGGUGUCAAACCGGAGGAAGGUGGGGAUGACGUCAAAUCAUCAUGGCCCUUAUGUCCAGGGCUUCACACGUGCUACCAUGGCCGGUACAAAGGGGUGCCAACCCGCGAGGGGGAGCCAAUCCCAAAAAACCGGUCUUAGUUCGGAUUGCAGUUUGCAACUUGACUCCCC